GCCCAGGUGGUGAAAUAGGUAGACACAAGGGAUUUAAAAUCCCUCGGCCUUUAGGCUGUGCGGGUUCAAGUCCCGCCCUGGGCACCA
rnacentral:tRNA from 2 species